rnacentral:lncRNA from 1 species
AUUGGUUUUCGGGACAUUUGAAAGUUGAAUUAAGGGCCGCCGCGGUCCGCGGAUAUAUUUAUUAUUCAUAGGCAUCGUGGAUUGUUGCGUGGUGCUCAUGGGGCAUCAGUUGGUGAUUGAUAACAUUUUGCUUUGAUUUCUGAUUGCUGAUGAUUUAAAUUCUAUGAUGGUUUACUGUGCGGAACCUUCGUGUAGAAAUGGGUCCGGGAGAAGAAACAACCAGGCGCCCGGCACCAAAUAUCACGAGUUCCCUGCGGAUGAAGUGAUGGCAAGGCGAUGGUGGCAGAUCAUAAAAAGAGGGGAGCCAUUCCCGAAGAACUUCCGCCAGUAUUGUUUGUGUUCUUUGCAUUUUGUAACUGCUGACUAUGAAAGAGGCCUCAGGUCAGAACUGCUUAAGUUGCCUCCGCAGUAUUCUGCCAUGAAGCUGCUACCUACAUCAGUCCCAUCCAGGAACCUGACUCGUCCUCCAAGAGUCACAACACCAAGGAGUGGUGCUGCUACACAGAGGUGGAGAGGAAGAUGAGUCAAGGCAGGUGCAAGAAGAAGGAGAACAAGCAGCUCCCAAAGACUCAUCACUCCAAGCAGAAGAAUGCCUGCAUUCAGAUGCAUCUGUACAGACGAAGUGUGAGCCUUAAAAGUGUACCAGAUGCCCAGCACUUGAGGCUGAACUGGCAAGCCUGAAGAGCAAACUGGCAGAGGCCGAGGACGUCCCUGUCCCAUGCCGAGGACGUCCCUGUCCAGGCACUGUGGACGCGGCUGCGCAGUGUUGGAGGCAUGGCUGUUCCCACCGAGUCUUUCUUGGAACUGUGCAGGGAGCUCGAGACCUGUUUCUGUGCCUACCAUGCGAUGCACCCCGAUGGGCUCAGUCGAGAGCGCGGCGUCAUCCGCAACGCCACCCGUAUGAUGGCCGAGAAAUAUUCGCGGGGCGUGCAGUGUGCCAAAAUCCUGAAAGUGUUCGUUCGUGUGCGAACCUUUAUCCGCCUGCGAACAGUGAACUCGACUCGACGUGCGGAGACGCUGUCUAAGCGGAAGGUGCGGAAGCUGCGUCACCACGCACAGUAAACAGAUUGGCAGAGGCACACAUCAUUCAUUACAUCACGAUAUUAUUUAUUGAUCUCUUGAGCCUUUCUUUUUUGUAACAGCUGGGUAGUCGUUCAGUUUGUGCCUGAAUCGAGUUUCCAGACCUUCUGCUAGCUACCGUCUCCACACGGCGAACUGGGUCCAAUUUGUGACUUGUGCUCGAAAAUGCGUCCGUGUACAGUGAGGGCGGAAAUGAUAUGAUGUCGCUUAGGAGCCUUAAUUGUUCUCGACCGUGUCGUGAUGUAUCGUUUUCAUGAUUCAUUUUCCUUAAACUAGCUUGACUGUUAGCUGGCAACGUGCCAUUUUAUGUUGCACACAUCUGCGAUGAUCGACGGCCAGCGCCUGCUGGCGGCACCGCUGCCGCCGCCCAGCGCCGCCACCUGCGGUAGAGGCUGUCCCCGACGCUCCCCGACGCUCACGCCGAAGGCGCCUCGCGCGGCGUCGCCUCCAAGUUCGGUGGGGCGCAAUCUCUUACCGCGGGCGAGGGGACAAUUGAGCUUCAUGUUGCACAGUAUUUGUUGAUUUCCGUUAUUGUCCGCAACAAUUGUCUCAAGGGAGAGAUGUGAUGUCGUCUGAUGUAAGAUGAUAUGUGAUGUGAUGGAGAUGUGAUUCCGUGUACCCACUAACCCCUCCCCUCGCUGAAUACAGCUCUGUUCCUGAUAA